GUCGAGGAUCUUCCGCAAUGGGCGCAAGCCUGACGGAGCGACGCCGCGUGGAGGACGAAGGCCUUAGGGUUGUAAACUCCUGUCACCGAUUAUGAAUGGCGUGUCGUUAACAGCGGCACGUUUGACGUAAGUCGGGGAGGAAGCACCGGCUAACUCUGUGCCAGCAGCCGCGGUAAUACAGAGGGUGCAAACGUUGUUCGGAAUUACUGGGCAUAAAGCGCACGUAGGCGGCCUGAGAAGUGCGGGGUGAAAUCCCACGGCUUACCCGUGGAACUGCUUUGCAUACUGCCAGGCUGGAGGACGGUAGAGGAGAGCGGAACUCUUGGUGGAGCGGUGAAAUGCGUAGAUAUCAAGAGGAACACCGAAGGCGAAGGCAGCUCUCUGGUCCGUUUCUGACGCUGAGGUGCGAAAGCCAGGGUAGCGAACGGGAUUAGAAACCCCUGUAGUCC
rnacentral:rRNA from 1 species